rnacentral:tRNA from 15 species
GCCAUCCUUCUUGGUGGUGGGCUCGGGCUUCAAUUCC